rnacentral:rRNA from 1 species
UACGGAGGGGGUUAGCGUUGUUCGGAAUGACUGGGCGUAAAGCGCGCGUAGGCGGAUCGGAAAGUUGGGGGUGAAAUCCCGGGGCUCAACCUCGGAAUGGCCUUCAAGACUGCUGGUCUUGAGUUCGAGAGAGGUGAGUGGAAUUCCGAGUGUAGAGGUGAAAUUCGUAGAUAUUCGGAGGAACACCAGUGGCGAAGGCGGCUCACUGGCUCGACACUGACGCUGAGGUGCGAAAGCGUGGGGAGCAAACAGG